rnacentral:tRNA from 1 species
GUCUUCGUAGCUCAGCUGGUAGAGCAAUUGACUCUUAAUCAAUGGGUCCAGGGUUCGAUUCCCUGCGAGGACA